GCUGGGCAUGGUGGCGCAUGCCUGUAAUUGCAGCUGCUUGGAAGGCUGAGGCAGGAGGAUCGUGAGUUCAAAGCCAACCUCAACAAUGGCUAGGUGCUGAGCAAUUCAGUGAGGCCCUAUCUCUAAAUAAAAUACAAAAUAGGGCUAGGGAUGUGGGUCAGUGGUUGAAUACUCCUGAGUUCAGUCCCCAGUUCCAAAAAAAAAAAAAAGUUGUUUUUGAGACAGGAUUUUAUUAAGUUGUGAGACUGGUCUUGAACUUAUGCUCCUUCUGCCUCAG
rnacentral:sRNA from 1 species